AACAUAACGAAAGGGUAGUGAAUUUGCCCACAGUGUAUUGUUAAGUUUUUGAAAAUUUUCAAAGCAUUUUCCCAAAAUAUGUGUCAAAAUAAAAUUUGUCACCAAAAAUCAUUCCAUUAGCUGAAACAGAGAAAGUUGUGGCCAAAAUAAGACUCAACUUUACCCCCUAGUGGACGAAAACGUCCCCAACAACACAUAAGGGUUAAAUUGAUUAUUUGAUUAACAAUUUAAUUAGAUUUAAGUUAUUUAUUUACGACAUCUUUAUGUUUAGCCUAUGUAAAUUCUGCGUGUUUUAACGAGCGCGCGCUGAACAUUGGAGUAGCGUUCAUUCAGAUACAAACACCGGAGCGGAGGGAGUUGCCAUGGAAACGGGGCGACCGACAACACUGGCAAGCUGCAAGCUCCGUUUCUUGCUGCUGUUUUCACUGCUUUCGGUUACCGUUAAUCGGUGACGUCAUUACACCAGCGGUACAGUCCAAACGCAUUUUGAUCUCGUCUAAUGAUUCUUCCGUGUUUGAUGUUCUUCUGCAUCCCAGAGUCUGAGCAAGCCUCCUGUCCAACAACAUCUCCAAGACACACUGAACCAUACGACUAGCAGGUUAACCCCAGACAUACACUAAUGUUCAAAAUUCAGAGUUUUUUAUGUUUUUGAAAAUAAGUCUUUAAUUUUUUUUUAUGCUUACCAAUUUCUGAAAAAAAGCAGAUAAAAAAAGUAAAAUCAAUAAUAUUGUGAAAUAAUAUUACAAUUUAAAAUAGCAUUUUUUUUUGCGAAAUGUAAUUUAUUUCUGUGAUGCGCAGUGUUUCUUUGGCAAGAAAUCAUAUUAUAAUGAUUUCUGAAGGAUCAUAUGACACUAAAGCCUGGAGUAAUGAUGGUGAAAAUCAGCUUUGAUCAUAGCAAUCAAAUGACCCUUUGCAAAAACCCACCCUCGUUAAAUACUGUUGCUGCGUCCAACAAGCCAUGCUGCUCUCACUAUACACACCUUGUUCUCACACAGGGAAAAACACAUCGUGGACCAAAGAGGAAACUGACAACACACAGACAGACAAGACAGAGAAGCCUCGUGUGUGAAGACUUCAGAAGAUGCCAGACCUCACAAAGAUUUCAGAUGAUGGCAACUAUAGAUGAACAUGCAAAGCUGCUAAAUAAUUCUUAUAUUGUAAUCAUUGCCCUAAAAGGAAGGAUCUUAUCAGCAAAUCUACUUCACAGCACAUCAGUGAAAGCAGUUGACAGUUACGGAUGGGUGUGUUGGAUCAGGGUCAGAUCUGAAUUCUGAUGGUAGGUAAAUCUCCAGGAACAGGAUUAUGCAGCCUUGUUAUAUUGGUAAUGUAUGAUGGAUUUUGAACUGUACUGUUUUUAUUGCAGGUUUUCUGGGAUGACAGUUGAAGAUGAUCAGAACAUCAGAUGUUGGUCUGGACAGCUGUACCUACAGUACACCACACUGACCUCUCUGCUUUUGCAUGGAUAACUGACUUACUACCAUGUUCUGUGAAGGUAUUAUUAUAGCAAACCUGAGCACCUGUGACAGUGGAAUAGUUGUAAUGAAUAGUCACACAUGCAUAUUGGUAAAUUUAAAGUUACAGAUAAUUUUUUUUAGUACUAGCAAUAUUUUUAUUUUUAUUUUUUAUUUUUUAUUAAUUCUCUCCAGCAAACACAACACAACAGUUACACCAUUUCGAAUUCUGAGGUGCACAAAUCCUAUUCUACAAAUAAGAGAACAACAGUAUAAAAGUGCUCAGUUUAGCCUCUUUCACACUGAGAUUCCGGAUAAAACACGGGUAAUGUGUCCCGGCAAUUGUUCCCGGAUUGUUAGAUUUUGGUUCAUUCACACUGCCAGUGAUAGCGUUCACACACAACCCAUAAAGGUCCCGUAAUGACACGAGACAUCAGGAUGUGAUGUGUAAUGUAUGAGUUAAAAAUGCUAGGCCGCCAAUAAACGGAAGAAGGAGAAGAAGCAAAGCAGAAGUGUUUUCAAUGCUUUAUAAACAUGGCAGCUGAUCAGCUACUAGGGACAUUGUUGUUUAUGUAUAAAGCAUCUUCCACACAGAAAUUCCGGAAAAUACACGGAUAAUGUGUUCCAGGAUCCUUUGAUUGUGGUUCAUUUACACUGGCAGUGAUUUUCUGGAAUCUGUGUGUCACACACAACCCAUAAAGAUCCCGUAAAGACACAUGACAUUACGAUGCGACGUGUUUUGUUUCACUUAAGCUGGCGAACGAUCUCAGCUUUAGCACGGAUAGUGAGGAACUAACUGAUCUCUGCUUCAUUACAGUUUGCACAUAUUUUUUCGUCACGAAUGUUGAUCUGCCGUCAAAACACCCGGUAAAAGAGUCGCAUGAUAACGUGCGUCAUCACUACGACACACCCUUUACGCCAUUGGUUCUGGCUUUUGUUCACACAGAGCUCGUUCCGGGACUGAACCCAGCAAUGUUCCUAGGUCCCCAAACCAGGAUCAGUCCCGGAAUCAAUCCCGGGACGUGUUUGCGUUCACACAGAAGGCACUUUGGCAAUUUUCCAGCAAUUUUUUGGGACCACCGUGCAGUGUGAAAGGGGCUUUAGUCUAGCACAGUACACAUUUAGUUACAAGUUAUUUAUUUAUAUUAUUUUAUUUUUUUUAUUUUUUUUACAAAUAAGAGCAAACUGAAUAAAAUAGGAUUGAACUGAAUAGAAAAGGUAAGUGCUAGUAUUAAUUGAUCAGGUGCUGAUGGAAAAAGAGGUGUCUUUAAUGUUUUUGGAAAAUGGCUGAAGACUCAGAUGCUCGAACUGAGAAAGGCAAGUCAUUCUACCAUGAUCUUAUCUACAAAUACUACUAUUCUCAUAAAGUCUGUAAAUAUGUCCAGUUCUAAUAAACACACAUUUCAGGAAAAAAUAAUUCAAUAAUAUGACCAAAAUGAAAUACAGUCCUGC
ensembl:lncRNA